AACAGGAUUAGAUACCCUGGUAGUCCACGCCGUAAACGAUGUCGACUUGGAGGCUGUUCCCUUGAGGAGUGGCUUCCGGAGCUAACGCGUUAAGUCGACCGCCUGGGGAGUACGGCCGCAAGGUUAAAACUCAAAUGAAUUGACGGGGGCCCGCACAAGCGGUGGAGCAUGUGGUUUAAUUCGAUGCAACGCGAAGAACCUUACCUACUCUUGACAUCCAGAGAAUUUAGCAGAGAUGCUUUAGUGCCUUCGGGAACUCUGAGACAGGUGCUGCAUGGCUGUCGUCAGCUCGUGUUGUGAAAUGUUGGGUUAAGUCCCGCAACGAGCGCAACCCUUAUCCUUUGUUGCCAGCGCGUAAUGGCGGGAACUCAAAGGAGACUGCCGGUGAUAAACCGGAGGAAGGUGGGGAUGACGUCAAGUCAUCAUGGCCCUUACGAGUAGGGCUACACACGUGCUACAAUGGCGCAUACAAAGAGAAGCGACCUCGCGAGAGCAAGCGGACCUCAUAAAGUGCGUCGUAGUCCGGAUUGGAGUCUGCAACUCGACUCCAUGAAGUCGGAAUCGCUAGUAAUCGUAAAUCAGAAUGUUACGGUGAAUACGUUCCCGGGCCUUGUACACACCGCCCGUCACACCAUGGGAGUGGGUUGCAAAAGAAGUAGACAGCUUAACCUUCGGGAGGGCGUUUACCACUUUGUGAUUCAUGACUGGGGUGAAGUCGUAACAAGGUAACCGUAGGGGAACCUGCGGCUGGAUCACCUCCUU
rnacentral:rRNA from 1 species